UGGGGAAUAUUGCACAAUGGGCGAAAGCCUGAUGCAGCAACGCCGCGUGAGUGAUGAAGGCCUUCGGGUUGUAAAGCUCUGUCUUUUGGGACGAUAAUGACGGUACCAAAGGAGGAAGCCACGGCUAACUACGUGCCAGCAGCCGCGGUAAUACGUAGGUGGCAAGCGUUGUCCGGAUUUACUGGGCGUAAAGGAUGCGUAGGCGGAUUUUUAAGUGAGAUGUGAAAACCCUAAGCUUAACUUGGGGACUGCAUUUCAUACUGGAAAUCUAGAGUGCGGGAGAGGAGAAUGGAAUUCCUAGUGUAGCGGUGAAAUGCGUAGAGAUUAGGAAGAACACCAGUGGCGAAGGCGAUUCUCUGGACCGUAACUGACGCUGAGGCAUGAAAGCGUGGGUAGCAAACAGGAUUAGAUACCCUGGUAGUCCACGCCGUAAACGAUGAGUACUAGGUGUAGGAGGUAUCGACCCCUUCUGUGCCGCAGUUAACACAAUCAAGUACUCCGCCUGGGAAGUACGAUCCGCAAG
rnacentral:rRNA from 1 species